CCAGACACUUGGUCAACGUCUGUCUCGAACUCGUUUGUCAUGGCGCGCGGGGAGAACACAGCGGCUGGAAACACUUCUCUUCACACGCGACGUUGUGUUCGUCUCUGCGUCCCUGGGUCAUCGUCGUCUUGCCUCCUCACCUUCGGUCUUCGCCAUCAGUGGGAAGUUCGUGUGCUUAGUGGAUGCAGCGGCCUGAUCGUUCUUUCAAGCGGCCCGCACAUCCGGCGCUGUCAUCGCUGCCAUUCG